rnacentral:rRNA from 1 species
UGCAAGUCGAGCGGUAACAUUUCUAGCUUGCUAGAAGAUGACGAGCGGCGACGGGUGAGUAACGCGUAGAAAUCUACCUAGUAGUGGGGGAUAGCCCAGAGAAAUUUGGAUUAAUACCGCAUACGCCCUACGGGGGAAAGCGGGGGAUCUUCGGACCUCGUGCUAUUAGAUGAGUCUGCGUCGGAUUAGCUUGUUGGUGAGGUAAUGGCUCACCAAGGCGACGAUCCGUAGCUGGUCUGAGAGGAUGACCAGCCACACUGGAACUGAGACACGGUCCAGACUCCUACGGGAGGCAGCAGUGGGGAAUAUUGCACAAUGGGCGCAAGCCUGAUGCAGCCAUGCCGCGUGUGUGAAGAAGGCCUUAGGGUUGUAAAGCACUUUCAGCAGUGAGGAAAGGGGUGUCGUUAAUAGCGCCAUCCUGUGACGUUAACUGCAGAAGAAGGACCGGCUAACUCCGUG